ACAACAUCAUCCAUUGCAUUAUAAGUAAAGUUUUAUACAUGUGUGUUCUUUGUAUGUAAUUAAGACACCAAAAAUAUACAAUCAAAAUAAAAGACGAGACUUGACUGCUCCGUCUUCUCAAAACCUGGCCUCCGUACCUGUCUACUGGCGACCUGAGAAUACAAGUUAUUUUGAAAGCGAGUAUCAGCUUUAAAGCUGGUGAGUUCAUAAGUAUAUAAGUGUCAUUGCUUUGUUUGUGAAAACCUGCUAUGAAUGCCAUGAAAACCCUUAAGUGAAAAUGUUGAGGUAAGUAUGAAAUCCCUAGAAAAACCCUUAUUUUCUAUAAGUAUGAAUUGUAGUCUUCUACCAAGACUCGAAUGUUUUGUAUAAAUGAAGUGUAGUCUUCUACCAAGACUCGAAUGUUUUGUAUGAAUGAAGUGUAGUCUUCUACCAAGACUCGAAUGUUUUGUAUGAAUGAAGUGUAGUCUUCUACCAAGACUCGAAUGUUUUGUAUGAAUGAAGUGUAGUCUUCUACCAAGACUCGAAUGUUUUGUAUGAAUGAAGUGUAGUCUUCUACCAAGACUCGAAUGUUUUGUAUGUAUGAAGUGUAGUCUUCUACCAAGACUCGAAUGUUUUGUAUGAAUGAAGUGUAGUCUUCUACCAAGACUCGAAUGUUUUGUAUGAAUGAUGAUAGUUUUUCCUUUGUGUAGACUAGUACUAAAAGUGCUAGGUCUAACUCAUCGUUUAUGUGAAUGUGUCACAGAAUAAAGUAAACAGGAAAAAUAUAAUAUUGUAAGUGUUGUCACUGGGUACUAGGACCAACACUACAUCGCAUGAAGCGAAAGAUAGACCCUAAGGAACAUCCGAAGAGUGUCCCCUCAUCCUCUGUAGCAGCAGCAGGAUGGAAGGAGGGUUAGUCCCUGCAUCGAUCUCUUGACGUAGAUCGUCAACCUAAUGAUCCUCCGAAGAUUCACAUCUCGUCCACUGUUGCAACAGCGGGCGGAGGGAUAGUUAGUCCCGUCACUGACCACAAAUCAAGUGACUACCUUAGACAUCCGUAGACGUCAUCGAUCACUGGUGCUAAUCAGUGAGAUUCGGAAUGGUAAGUCCCGCCGAAACAUCCCAUUGAACGGGGAUAGGAAAGACAAUUUAUACAGUAAAUACUAAUAAAUCAUCCUCUUAGAUCUAAGUUCAAGUAUCCAAGGUAAGUAAGUACAGAGUAAUGUACCUAUGAAGAAGUGUCCCUGUAUAGAAUUCAUGUAGGUGUGUUUAUGUAACAAGUAAGUAUAUGUAAACAUAUUCAUGUAUCAUAUAAUCCUAAGUACGUGUACUCAUGUAUCAUGUAAGGCAUUAAUAUAGACUCAUGAAUGAACUGACUCUUGUUUGAUAUUCUCUGACUAUCCCUAUGAUAGUUAACUGGAAAGUAUGUUGUUGUUCAAGUAGGUUUAUGCAAGGUAUCUAGGAGCUUUGAACAAUAAUAUAAAGUGACUUGAAGUCAUUAUACAAUUCAAAACUAAUACUUCUGUUGUCCAAGUAUUUUAAGAUAGAAAACCAUUUCACGUGACUUCUUUUGAAAUAUGUGAAAUCUACUGAGUGAAAACAUAGUUAUAAAAUACAUGAAACUGAUUUAAUAACAUGUUUGUUUCUACUUGUGUUUCCCCCCCCCCAUUAAAGCAUUUAAAAUCCUUUAAAACAUUGAUUACGGGGUAUGAACUCACCUGUAGUUGGUGAUUGGAAUGAACUGAACGGUAUCGGAUUGCUAGGUGUCAAGCGAGGACUUGUGCACACACUACGAUCCUAAUGAACAUAUAAUCACACAUAUAUGCACUCAAUUAGACACAAAAGACUAAUUGAUAAUGUUUAAGACAUCCUAGACAUAGAUAACACUUUAUGUAAGUGUUUUAAGCCAUAAGGACUUCAUCUAAGCUAUUGUGGGACAGGGUACUUGAGUUUAGGGUUUCCAAAGGACCCUACAAGAGAGUUUAAUCUCCUUAAUCCAUCACACAUGGAGUUUACGGUUGUAAACUCUUGAGUUUACGGCCGUAAACUCCCAAACAUGUGUGUUUGGUGUGUUUUGAAGUCCAAUAUGCUUUCUAGAAUUAUUCUAACCUAGUGGCUAUGUUCUUGGAAGGGUUUAAGGCUUAGAAGUACUCCAAAUAGGAGUUUACGGCCUAAAGCACAUUUCCCCUUGGAGUUUACGGCCGUAAACUCCCUUGGGGUGAUUCCUUGGUUGCUUUCAAGCCUCUUGUAAUAGUGGGAUGUGUUCUAGACUUUUAAUCCUAGCAUAUGAAGGCAUUAGGCACCACUUAGUGCCCUUUUUAGGAGUUUACGGCCCAAGAACCAUGUCUUGGCCGUAAACUCACUUGUUUAAGUGUUAUUGUAUUCACCGCCAUUAUCGGUUUGAAAAGCUUGGAUUUUAACACAGAACUGGGUUAAAACAUAUUGAUAAAAGUGUUGAAAUUUUCCAUUCACAUCAGACUUUUUACGCAAAGGAUACACCCACAAAAAAUGAGAGAAGCUAUCUAAGAAAAUAACAUAAUAUUUGAUUCCACUCAAACUAGUAAUCGGGGAUGUCCAAACAUCGGAAUGAAUAAUUUGGAAAGGAAAUUCAGCAACAAAAUGAGACAUUUGAAAUGGUAAUCUAACAUGUUUUCCUAACUGACACGACUAACAUAAACUAUUUUUGGUUUUGUUGACACGAGGAAUUAAAGAACGAGAAACUAAAUGCUGAAACACAUGAUGACCAGGAUGACCGAGUCUUUGAUGCCAAAGCUACGGUCCAAAAGAGAGGAGAGCUUGAGCAAAAGGCUUCGUGACCGGAUAGAGAUCGCCGGUACUGUCACAUCGUAGGAGGGUGCGUUUGGUCUGAAAAUCAUGAACAGAAAAACCAAACUCAUCAAACUCAAUAGAACAUUUGUUGUCACGGGCAAGACAACGAACAGACACAAGAUUUUUAAUGAUAUCGGGAGUUAUUAACACACUAUUUAAACGUAAAGGACGGAAAGAGUAUGACAUAGGAAGAAAAGAGUCACCCGUGGCUUUUACCGGGAUGCGGGACCCAUUACCAACAUAGACAGAGGAAGUAGGCAAAUUAUUUUUAACAGAACUUAGGAUACCUUGGUUCGUGUGUAGAUGAGCGGUGGCGCCGGUGUCCAUAUACCAAUCGGCAUGGGUGGGGUCAUUCAAAGUCAUAGUGUUAAAGCUUUGAGGAAGAGUCGUGGCCUGAUCCGAAGGGGCUUGUUGUGCCAAGUGGAAGGCUUGGUGAGCAGGUGGAGCGGGCCAUAAUGGUUGUUGGCGAUUUGGGCCAGGAGAAAAAGAGGAGCGUUGGUGGGCUUGAGCUCCUUGCGGUGUGGGCAGCAACCCAUUUGAGCCAUACGGUGGUCCGUUAACCACAAAUUGGUGAGAUGAGAUAUUAUUUGGACCAAGAGAGCAUGGCAUUGGACCCCAGGGGGUAUGUAUAAUUAAUUGUUGACCAUUUAAAUGUUGACCAAAACCACUUGAAAAACUUUGUUUAUGUCCGUACAUCCACCCCCACGUUGAAACCUACCUCCUCUAUUAAAUCUUCCACCGGUCCUACCACCACCACGUGAUUGAUUAGAAAAAUUAUUUCUAUAAUUUUGAGAUUGAUUAACAUUCCCAGUGGCUUGAACCGAAAGAGCAGUUGGAGAAGAGGGAUGAUCGGUGUGUGUAACAGAAACGGGCUUGGAUGCAUUGACCUUCAUGAGUUUUUCUUCAAUGGUAAGGGUGGAACGGACCUCCGCAAAUGUUGGAAACGACUUGCUGUUGCGGAUUAGAAGGGAGAGAUUGUCAUAUUUAGUAGGUAAACCAUUGAGUGUGUGUAUGAUCAGAUUUCGAUCAGUAAGUUUGGCUCCUAGAUUCUCAAGCAUAUCUGCCAGUUUAGACACACGGUUGAGAUACUCAAGCAUGGAGGAGUCCCCCAUUGAUAAGUUCCUGAUUUCAGUGUCUAGCUCCAUGAGUCGGUGGUCUUUGUUAUCGUAAAAAAGAUUUUCAAGGGUGAUCCAUACGUCAUAUGCUGUGGUAUUUUUCUUUAUAAUGGAAUUGAGUAAGGGUUGUGCAAGAGUACCGUAAAUCCAAGCUUUCACAAUAGCAUCAAUUUUCACACCUUUUGCGAUUCUCAUGGUAUUCAGCUUCGUUUUUCAUGUCCUCAUACAUCCCAACAGAAUGGCAAAUCAGAACGCAUGCUACGCACCAUCUAUAAUGUCAUACGCACCCUUCUCUUUCAUGCUCAUGUUCCACCAAAAUACUGGGUUGAAGCAUUACACAUGGCAAUUCACCUUAUAAAUAUUCUACCCUCCACCACUCUCCACAACAUUUCCCCAUUUCAAAAACUAUUUAACCAAACACCCAAGUAUGAUCAUUUACGAGUUUUUGAAUGCCUCUGUUUCCCCCAUAUAGUCACUCCUCAUAAACUAUCCCCUCGCACCACACCAUGUGUCUUUUUGGGAUCAAGAUAAGUACAUUAUGGGCUAUAAUACUAAUAUUUUGGGCCUAAAUACAAACAAUAAUAAUAUAGCUAGCACAUUUCAGUCUAUAUGUUUUAUUGUUUUCAAAAUUAUUUAUUUAAAAUGACAAAGUUAACGAUAAUAUAAUAAUAUUUUUUUUAUAAUGAUAGAUAUCAAUAAUGUGAUCAUUCUACUUUAGAUAAGUUUUAAAGGCCCUAAGAACAUAUAAGUUUGGCAUAAGUGCCAUAGAGGUAGCCCAACUUUAAACACUUUAAAUAACACAUAUUAUUCUAUAGAUAAAAUAUAUUUCCAAAAAAUAAACAUUCAUUUUCUUCUGGAAUUAACAAAACGGGUGAGAUGACUCCAACAUGAGUCAUAAGCAGAUGAUUGAGGAAUGAUGAAAUGCAUAUGUACAUGUACUUGGCCUCAUUUGCAAGCACUAAACCAUUGUAUUUUUUAAUGAUAUUUUAUUAUUAUUUCUUUUUUAUUUUCACCUUUAUGGUGUUUUGAAGUCUUUAUUUUUUAUUUUUUUUUAUCUUUGCAAUCUGAUGGCUAACAACCCUCAACAAUAUAACAACUUUCAUUACUAUUGUCUCAGAUAUAGACAAGAUAAAUUAAAGUGGAAGAUUGGUAUUAGUUACUUAGUUGAGGCUUUCAAUCAUGGGUGAAUGUUGUGUUGUUGAUUAUAAACAAACCUAAUAAAGAGUUUAAUUCCUACCUUUUACUUCUUCGGUUCAAAGUUUAUGCUAUUAGUAAGGUUGUGGUGAGAGUUUUCUUAUCUUCUACCUAACAAAAUUUUUGGAAGAUUAUAUUGGAAACGGUUAGCAACUGUUUUUGGAACAUUUCAUUGAGCAUUUGGCGGGUAAUAUAUGAAAGCUAAAAAAAAUAUGCCACCUAAACUUUAUACAAGACGACAAAGUUUAGAAGCCAACUUCAAAUUGAUCCUAAUUUGGGCUUUUUAAGCAGGUAUGUAUUUGGGUUUGGCUAAAACCUUUUUUAACAUGACAGCUACAUAGUUUUCCACUAAAUUCAUUCCACGACACAGUUGAAAUUGAGAUAUGAAUGUUCAGUUUCUUACAUCUAGAGUAUAUGAGAAAGAAAAGAAAAGUAACUCUGUAACUUUGAAUGAAAAGAAAAUAACUCAAACAUUUACAUAGUUAAUCGUUAAAUUAGUGUAGCAGAAUAUGGAAAUCUACCCCAAACAAUAAACCAAACUGCAUAGAAAAUAAAAGCAAGAGAACUUACCAGAUGACAUGUAGCAGCCGGAAGUAAAGGAGUGGGGAAAUGUAUGAGUGUUUCCACAGUUAUUGUUCAAUUUUAUAGAAGAGAUGUGACCACCUGUCGAUUAUACACGAAGUCGAAGACCAAUCGACUGUUGAGUCGAUUUUUAGCAAAAUUAAGGUCGUGAAGACCGGCGGAAGGGCGUCGGCAGGCGAAAGGCAAUCAGCGGGCGGCGGUCGGUGACUCUGUGUCGACGAAGCUGAUGAUGGGAAAUUGCCAUCAAUCAAUGCCAAUUUCAAUGCGUGGUGACGAAGAAGAAGGGAGAGGUUGUGGGAUUAAAAAAUUGAAGCGACAGUCGUUGAAAAGCCAAUCAGCCGAUGACCAUCCCACCAGCAGCCGGCUAAAAAUAUUAGCCAAUCAUUCCACAGCUCCAAACCAACACCAAACAGAAAAGAGAAAAGUGGUUGGCUUAGCUGAAAAC
rnacentral:lncRNA from 1 species